AACGAACGCUGGCGGCAGGCCUAACACAUGCAAGUCGAACGCAAUACUUCGGUAUUGAGUGGCGAACGGGUGAGUAAUACAUAAGCAACCUGGCCAUGACAGGGGGAUAACUGACGGAAACGACAGCUAAAACCGCAUAGGUAUAAACGAAGCAUUUUGUUUAUAUUAAAAAUGCUAAGGCAUCGGUGAUGGAUGGGCUUAUGGAGCAUUAGCUAGUUGGUGAGGUAGAGGCUCACCAAGGCGACGAUGCAUAGCCGGCCUGAGAGGGUGAACGGCCACACUGGGACUGAGACACGGCCCAGACUCCUACGGGAGGCAGCAGUAGGGAAUUUUCGGCAAUGGGGGGAACCCUGACCGAGCAACGCCGCGUGAAGGAAGAAGGAAUUCGUUUCGUAAACUUCUGUUAUAAAGGAAGAAAGGGAUGUAUAGGGAAUGAUACAUCUAAGACGGUACUUUAUGAGGAAGCCACGGCUAACUACGUGCCAGCCGCCGCGGUAA
rnacentral:rRNA from 1 species